rnacentral:rRNA from 1 species
GACGAACGCUGGCGGCGUGCCUAAUACAUGCAAGUCGAACGAAACUUUCUUACACCGAAUGCUUGCAUUCACCGUAAGAAGUUGAGUGGCGGACGGGUGAGUAACACGUGGGUAACCUGCCUAAAAGAAGGGGAUAACACCUGGAAACAGGUGCUAAUACCGUAUAUCUCUAAGGAUCGCAUGAUCCUUAGAUGAAAGAUGGUUCUGCUAUCGCUUUUAGAUGGACCCGCGGCGUAUUAACUAGUUGGUGGGGUAAUGGCCUACCAAGGUGAUGAUACGUAGCCGAACUGAGAGGUUGAUCGGCCACAUUGGGACUGAGACACGGCCCAAACUCCUACGGGAGGCAGCAGUAGGGAAUCUUCCACAACGGACGCAAGUCUGAUGGAGCAACGCCGCGUGAGUGAAGAAGGUCUUCGGAUCGUAAAACUCUGUUGUUAGAGAAGAACACGAGUGAGAGUAACUGUUCAUUCGAUGACGGUAUCUAACCAGCAAGUCACGGCUAACUACGUGCCAGCCGCCGCCGUAAGAC